rnacentral:tRNA from 1 species
GCGGCGGUAGUUCAGCGGUAGAAUAUCUGUUUUCCAAACAGAGGGUCACGGGUUCAAAUCCCGUCCGCCGCUCCA